rnacentral:rRNA from 1 species
UACGUAGGGGGCAAGCGUUGUCCGGAUUUAUUGGGCGUACAGAGCGUGUAGGCGGCCAUGUAGGUCCGUUGUGAAAACUCGAGGCUCAACCUCGAGACGCCGAUGGAAACCAUGUGGCUAGAGUCCGGAAGAGGAGAGUGGAAUUCCUGGUGUAGCGGUGAAAUGCGCAGAUAUCAGGAAGAACACCCGUGGCUAAGGCGGCUCUCUAGUACGGUACUGACGCUGAGACGCGAAAGCGUGGGGAGCGAACAGG